rnacentral:lncRNA from 1 species
CAAGAUUCUGAUGAAGGCAUUCUGUAAGUGGAAUAGUAUAAAUCUAUAUAAAUUAUGUUUUGCUGCCUGGAAUUAAGACACAAGAUGCUACUGAAAUUUUCAACUUUACACUUUUAAUCAAGUUUUAGCAGUUGUACUGUUGCGUGGUUUUAUAGGAAACUCCAUCAUGGGGCGACUUUUUACAAAGUGGGAGAACUCAUCUGCACACACACGAGCUGCAGAUGUCAGGAUGGUGAGAAUUACUUUUCCAGUUAAUACAUAUAUAUAUUAUUAUUCCAAAGCAAGAUUUAAAUUUUAAUACUGUAAUUUGUGUCAGUAUUCCCAAUCACUACUCAGUAACAUAUUCCAGGAAAACAUGCAGUAGAACUUAUAAAAAAACCUUUACAGAUACAAGUCUCUGUUAGAGGAAGAUAAUUCCUGAUCUCUGUUGUUCCUGAAUGAACCGUUGUUCUAUUUCUCAGCUCUGCUUAAUACAAACAGCUAGUUAAUUAUGGCUAAAAAUUCUUAUCUUUUUCACCUUCACAGUUUCUGUAAAAAAUAAUUUCCAAAGGCAUCGCUGUGCCUUUAUGAAAAAAGAAACAAACACGUUAUCUGUCAUUGUCUCAGUAGAAGUGAUUUAAAUAACUGUGCCUAUCAAUUAACUGUAGAAUUUUACAUUGAUUUAUCUAAAGCAUUUAUUGAUAUUCAAAAUCUAUUUGGCAGCUUUGAUCAGAGAAGUGAGUGCAGGAGAACUGAGAGUUACCAGGUUAUAUUCCUCAUCUGAGUUACUUAUUUCCUUACUGUUGUGAAGCUGCUGCCUUUGUGAGCACCUGCUUAAUUGGUUUUACUGGAAGGGUACUGCUACGUCAAGCUGAGGGCUCCAUGUGUUCGCUCUGUAGCCAGGGGCAACCCUGCCUCUUCCAGCAACGUAGCUGAAGUAGGCAUGGAAUGAAGUGGGGCAAAGGGUCAAGGUUUUGUACCCAGGAGGAGGGUAUCUACUGUAGUCCUCCUUAGAGCAGAACGUCAGGAGGAAUUUGAAUGCUUCAAUAAUACACCUUUAUGCUUGGGAUUGUUUUUUAAGUCAGACAGCUUACCUCAAGAAGUGGCAGUUUCCAGAACAUCAGAAUGGAAUCUUCCUUGACUGCUAAUUAAGGGAGGGGCAGGACUGUGCAGUCUGACUGCAGGUGGUGGCAAUUUCCCAACUCACCAGUGAACAUCUUCCUAUUUUCAGGCUUUCUCUCCCUUUGCAGCGGGCUAAAAACUAUUUCCUGAAUGCAUUAGCUUAUGCUUAGUCCCCUCCCUGUGCCUGAUCAAUUGCUUAACCAGAAAGCGACAUAGGUUUAAGGUACUGCGUAACUCACGGUACUGUAGAGCACGUUCUAGCACAGAGGGGUACCAACAUACACAUACCUACUGCAGAGUAUUUGUUCAGAUAAAUAGUCUUUGAAAUGUAGUAUCACAGUAAUUCAGCUAAUCGGGGCUCCAGUGGUAACAAGCUUAUAGUAUGCUCCUUCCAUUGCCAUUAGUUCAUCAUGAGUGCCCCUUUCAAUGAUGAUUCCUUGUGACAUCACAGCAAUGAUGUCAGCAUUCUCGAUUGUGGAAAGGCGGUGGGCAAUGACGAUGCAGGUGCGCCCUUCUCUGGCCUUAUCCAGCGCUGCUUGCACAGUCUAAAAGCAACAAAGAAAGCAUCAGAGUGAAAAUGGGCAAAUCAAAUUAGGGCUCAGAGCUGGAGAGAUCUGAUUGCUUCAGACUAAUUAACUAUAUUGUACAAUACUUGUACAAAAAAGGGAAAGAUAAAAAUAGAGUAAAAAUUAAACAGCAAGGAAAAUCUUUUUUUCAGCUGACAUGCUCAGCUUGGAUGUGCUUCUAAAUUUCUACCAUUUCUCUAAUCUCCAAGCAUGACCAAGCCAAGGAAUUUAUUGCCCAGCUCUUAGGCCCUGCACUGCUGGUUUUAUUGGAUAUUCAGACUCAUCAUUUGUAUGCUUGAAUACACUUCUGUUGUGAUUUAGGUUGUUUUUAUGUGCAAAAGCUGAAAGAUUCCCACUGAAUGCUGUGAGACCCAGGGAAUUAGUAUGCACAGUACAUAGAAAGUGCUGCUUCUUAAUGACAGUUUAAGAGUCUCUGUAGCUGGCUGUUGACUUUAUAGCCAUGCUUCCUGGAUCUUUCAAAAAGAUCAUUAAAAGUGUAAGUGCUGAAUUAGCAAUGGGGAAUAAUGCUGUGGUCAUGUGGUCUUUGUACAGCAGGAGGUCUCCACAAAAAAGAAGGCAGCAUUGUACCUUGUAAGCCAUUGCAUUAAUUUUCCCUUAUUUCGUAUUGCAAAUUUACCUUUUCACUUUCUGUGUCUAAUGCAGAUGUAGCUUCAUCCAAUAAUAAAAUUUUAGGAUCUCGAAUGAUGGCCCUCGCUAUAGCAAUGCGUUGUUUUUGCCCACGAGACAGCUGAGAUCCUUGAGCACCAACAUUAGUUUCAUAUUUCUGAAAAAUAUGCAAAAGGAAGAUCUUUAUGUAGCUGUAAACAAACAAGUACACAAACUGAAGGAGCAGCAGGAGGAGAGAGGCCGGAGCUCUCACCAUUGCUGUCUCUUAAUGAAUCUGGGAAGACAGAAAUGCUUUAAGAGCAAUACAGAUGUUCAAGGACAUAUCUUUGAACCAGCUUUGUAGUGCCGUAACAGGCCUAAAAAAUUCAAUGGCAAGAUGAUGGCUGAUUUGUCUGAAGCAAAAGAAAUCCCUGACCUAGAUUUGGGAGAAGAGGCUAAAAGUGAUUGUGGGGCUCACUGGACAAGUGUUUUGUUUGCAAGCCUAAAUUAUAUACAUAUCUUUCAUGUUCUUAUUUUUUUUUGUCUGUAUGAUUUCAGUGCAUUUAAAUACCUCUCCAGUGCACAUAAGCAGCCAGCUUCAAGUGUUUUGACUGAGGUACUGUACCUUUAUUGCAGGGCAGCACUCCCACAGCUGAGAACAGGAUCUGUAUUUCCUGACACUCUGUAACACUGUGACUGCUGAACUAUACUUCCUCUUUUUUCUUGUCAGUUACUUUGAGAAUCUUCCCUUUUCUCCUAAUUUAGAAUUAUGUUAUUUUUAGCUUCAUAAAUGUUUGCCUACUGUGUAAAGAAAACAGUAACAACUCACACCCAAGCUCUCCGAAACAGAGUGGUCUUUUCUCCUACCAUUCUAGUUGUAAAGCAAGACAUAAAAUAUUAACUGCAGCAAUUUUAACCGGUUUUGGUGCAACUCUCUGCAGUGACCGCUGAGCAGCCUGUCCCACAGCCAAGCCUCAGGUGUACUUACUUCAGGAAGUGACAUGACAAAAUCAUGCAGCUGAGCCUUCUUCGCUGCUUCUAUGACUUUUUCCAUUGUCGUGUCCUUGGUGUUACUGCCGUACUUAAUGUUGUCAGCGAUGCUGCAGUCGAAUAGCACAGGCUCCUGCGACACUACUCCAAUUUUCGAUCUGAGAAACUGUACAUUUACUUUCUUGGUGUCGUGUCCAUCUAUUAACUACCAGGAAAUAGAAUAAAAUGUAAAAUAUUAUUCCAAAAUGAUCUGCAAAGCCCAGUUAGUUUAUAGCAUAAGUAAAUGAUUUAUUACUAAACUACAAGCAAGACUGACUUGAGGUAAGUUGAAGUAUCUGUUACAUUUGACCUCUUUAUACAUGAUGAAUACUUUCCAGCUGUGUCUGUGAUUCAGACAAACUCUAAACCAUUUGCUUACUCUUAUCUCCAGCUGAACUUUUGACUGCCUCAGGUUAGGCACAGGUUUUGCUGCCUUGACAGGCUUAAUCAUCACCACUCAUAUUUUUGUCAAAUAAUGAGAUAGCAUACUGGAUGAUUCAGUUUUUACGAGGAAGAGUUAUAAAAGCUAGAUAAACAUAAUCUGCAAAGAAGCUGCAUGUUGAAACUAUAUAUUAUUUAGUGAUGUUCCAGAUUGUGUUGCUUCAGUCAAGCUUGAUUCUUGUUUGUGUUCCCACAACAUCAGCCACACAUUGCAUGAUUCAUACAGGAGCUACCAACACAAUUUCCUGAGGCCUAUAUAAUGCAGGAGGUUGCACCCAAGGUGAGUACUGUUCUUAUUUUGCCUGAGUACAUCUGAGAUGAUACGCAGAGUUUGAACAGGCCUCAUUUGAGAAGGAGCUGAAAACCCAAACUGCACGUGUAGAGACACACUGCUAGGUUCCACGUUUGGACACACUCAGAAGAGUCCUUGCAGCAUUGCUGAAGACAACAGUACAGAAAUCAUGUUUUCUUUGCUUACCACACUUCCUUCCUCAGGAUCAUAGAAACGCUCCAGAAGCUGGACACUGGUGCUCUUACCACAGCCGCUACUGCCAACAAAUGCCAAUGUCUGUCCAGGCUUAACAGCUACAGAGAGUCCUUUCAGGACCUGAAUAUCAGGCCGCGAGGGUGCUCAUGAAAUUAGCCUAGAAAGAGGCAUUAGAAACUUACUGGCACAGCUGUUCUACAAGGUGAAGUCAUUAGUCAUUAAACUGAUGCUCUACUGCCCAUCCCUGUGCUACACCAGCCAGAAGCAACAACUGUGGGAUUACCUUGCCAACUGGAAGCCGGUCGAUGAGUUGAAACAAACGUGCAGCAGAUGUUUUGGCUUUGGCGUAGUUCGGGGUGUAGGAAGAAGCUCUUCCCAAAGCAGUCCCACUGGUCACGAUUGCAGAGAUCACUCUGCAGAAAAGGUGGACGUGGUUACUCUUGGGCAGCCAUCGGGAAGCUGCGCGCUCCGCCUGGACCAGCACCUCUGGAGAGGAGGUCUGUGCCCGGCCCCAUGCAGGCUCCUACCUGAACACAAAGCUGUAAUGGAGCCCUUCAGUUUGAACCAGAAAUCCUCCAUAUCUGUAAGAGACAGAGUUGGCUAUGAACACUAUACUCUGGGCAAAGCCAAAGCAGAUUCCAUAAACGUUUGCUUUUUUGAUUGCAGCUCUGUAUGGCAUAUCCAGGUUCUUCUCAAAAGCAUCAAUGAACUUUUUUUCUUUCCCUAUCCCAGCCACAGUUCUGAUGUUAGAGAGGGCUUCACUGGAAAUCUGGAGGAGGAAAAAAAACAACAAAAAAGUAAAAUCACCCUGCUUAUCUCAAGUAAUUUUACUCAGAAAUUGGUUUAACAAUGCUGUCGUUUGCCUGGAGUUCAAUAGUAGUUUCAGGGUAUGACAUUUCCUGUAUUUUCAGCAUACACGUGUUUUUAUCACAUAGAAAGAGAUCUCAAUAUAUAAACCAUUACAAAGUAUGCCAUUCAAUUUCAGGGUAUUUCUUCUGGUCAAAAUUAAGGGUCACAUCCAUUGCAUUAUCACACAACUUGAAGCAGCAGAUAAUUAGGUACAGUGCAUUUGAUUGUUCAGACAAUCUGUUCUGCUUUUCCAUGUUUAACAUGGCUGAGGAACAGUCACAGUGGAGGAACAUUAAGCUUUUUUUGUUUGGAUGCAAUGCUUGAAAAUGAAUUAGAAAAUAGCACCAGACAUAAUCAGUCAUUGCCAAAACUGCUGAAGCAUUGAGUGCCCUUUUUAUCCCAGCCUCUGAGUUGUUCUAUUUAAUAAAAG